rnacentral:misc_RNA from 1 species
GGUUCGACAGCUCUCCUCUUCACGACAGAUCACUAUUCUCAAUGGAAACUCUGGGAAUAUUGGUAAUAUAUCAUCUCUCAUUAUUCCAGCUGCUACUCUAGGUGCUUUGGGAUAUGGAUACAUGUGGUGGAAGGGACUUUCAUUCUCGGACCUUAUGUAUGUUACAAAGCGCAAUAUGGCUAAUGCUGUCUCAAACUUAACUAAGCAUUUGGAACACGUGUCAGAGGCCCUUGCUGCAACUAAGAGGCAUUUGACACAGCGGAUUGAGAACUUGGAUGAUAAGAUGUUCAAGCAGAAUGAACUCUCGAAAUUGAUUAAAGAAGAUGUAGCAGGAGUUCAAAAAUCUCUUUCUGACAUCGACUUUGAC